rnacentral:rRNA from 1 species
CCUACGGGCGGCAGCAGUGAGGAAUAUUGGUCAAUGGGCGCGAGCCUGAACCAGCCAAGUAGCGUGAAGGAUUACUGCCCUACGGGUUGUAAACUUCUUUUAUAAAGGAAUAAAGUGAGGCACGUGUCCCUUUUUGUAUGUACUUUAUGACUAAGGAUCGGCUAACUCCGUGCCAGCAGCCGCGGUAAUACGGAGGAUCCGAGCGUUUUCCGGAUUUAUUUGGUUUAAAGGGAGCGUAGAUGGGUUUUUAAGUCAGUUGGGAAAGUUUGGGGCUCAACCGUAAACUUGCAAUUGAUACUGGCAGUCUUGAGUACAGUAGAGGUAGGCGGAAUUCGUGGUGUAGCGGUGAAAUGCUUAGAUAUCACGAAGAACUCCGAUUGCGAAGGCAGCUUACUAAACUGCUACUGACAUUGAGGCUCGAAAGUGUGGGGAUCAAACAGGAUUAGAUACCCCAGUAGUC